GUUGUGAAUGCUCCAUCCCUGGUGGCAUUCAAGGCCAGGUUGGACAGAGCCUUGGGUGACAUGGUGUAGUGUGAGGUGUCCCUGCCCUGUGGUUGGGUGGUUGGAACCAGAUGAUCUUAAGGUCCUUUCCAACCCUAACUAUUCUAUGAUUCAAAGUCAUGAUUUAAUCCAGUUUCUAGAGAAAUGUCCCUAAUGUCUCUCUGCAGGAUGUCAGACGCACUAGUUGUGGCAGUUGCUUCUGCCUGCAGAGUCCAUGUAGGUUGGUGUGAAACAGCUCUAAGUAACAUGAAGAAAAUUAAGAAUAUUUAGGAUGAACAUCAGUAAUGUUUCUGUCAGAGAAAUGCAAGCUUGGUUUCUGAGACGUUUAAACAUUACCUGAUAAGAAAACCCCAAACAACACAACUAUUAAUUAUCUGAACUAGCAAUCUGGAAUGUAUUAAGUCCAGGCACUUUUAUUAUCACUUCAUAAAUAUUCCUGUUUUCUCACCUCAGAUUCUUGUAAGGAAAGAGCAGCUCAUGAAAAUGUAUCUCUGAAAGAGCUCAAUAGUGUCAUUGCAUGGGCGAGCAGGUUUUUUUAAAGCUCAGUUGUAACUUUGAGUAAAGGAGAUGGAAAAUGUGGGAGUGGAAGAGGCGGCACUUGGCCAUGCUGUGGUUCCCAGGGGAGCAGCCAGGAGAACCCCUGGGCAGGGAAGGGAGCCGUGAGAGGGUGAAGAGGCUGAGGGACAUCCCAGCUUGAUUUCAUUUGGUUAUUUUAUUUGUACGCUAGAUUCAAAAUUGUUGUCUUUGAAGAUAACAGCAGUACAGCUGGGUCACUUCUAAAUCUCAGGAGCUGUAGAAUAAGGACAGCCCAAAUACAAAGAAAUAGUAAAACUGGGUGUUUGGACAGCAGUCACUGCAAAUGGUUGCAAGUUUAUUCAUAGAUCAGAUUGUUGGUUCUGCUGCUUUCAGAAUUCCCUCACAGCUGGUGAAUGGUGCUACAAAUCCACCUCUGCUCUGAAAAACUCCUUUUAGGCUGGAAUCUGCAAACACAUAUGCUCAACUUAAAAUCUGUGAAAUCAGCUGCAUCUCGCUGUAGCUGCUUGUAAAUUUAGAGGAAUAAAAUGCUUGGGGAAAGGAAAUGUAAAGUGCUGGAUUAAGAACUUCAGUGCUGCGUUUUGGGUGUUUGUGAUAUGCACAACAUAUAUCAACAGCUAUUAAAAUAAGUUUCAGGAAAGAAUUCUAGAGAUUGAUUGUUUCUUCAAAAAUUACUCCAAAAAUCAAUCAGAACUGUCUUAGAAAUAUGCCUACUAUGCACCAAGAUCUAGUUUUCCUUUUUUUUAACAAAAUUUAUCAAUCCAGUAAGAGGAGACAAGUAAACAAAAAUGAAUUGUCAUUUGUGUUAUUUUAUUAGUGUCACAUGAGAUUACAGCAUAUUAUUGAUUUGAGAAUAUUUUACCCAAGGAGACUUGUUUUAACAUGAACAAGUCAGGAUCAAUACUGGAUAUGCAUUCAUUUUCAUAAAAAGCUACAAGGCAAUAUUUUUUUUACAAAUCCCAUGACUAUACUUAUAGCUCUGUAAAAAAAAUAUCAUUGUGACCAAAUGAGGACCUAGCUAAGAUUUAAUUAUUAAAAAAUGGAUUAUUAUUUGCACUGUUGCUUACUUUCCCAGGUGUAUUAUUUACCGACCAAAAGUAAUUUAUGUGCUCACCCGGUUAUAGAGUGAAGUUAGAUUGCCUGUGCAAUUUUUGCUGACUUUGCUGCCUUAGCUUACUUUAUCAAUUCUCUUUCCCCCCCCCCCCUUUUUUCAUUAGAGAUCGCAUAUAGUUUAAGAGCUGUAAUCUGAAACCUUACAGCUCUAGUGGAUACUUAAAAGACUCAUUGAUACACUUUGAAACCAAGUCAAUUGAACAGCAUUAGCAACAGCAGCAUCUAGCCAUUAGGCUAUUAGGAUCAUUUGCCGAGGCACCAAAAUUAAAUAUAGGGACUCUAGCAAUUCCCCAAUUAUAUUGUGUUUGUAUAAUGGCAGUGAAAAGGAUAUUAUUUUAGUCAGCUCAGUGCUACUAUUGCAAGAACCAGGAUGCUCUCCAUUUUGCAGACGUAGAUAUGUAUUGGCCAGGACACUGACAUUAAUUCCCUUUGCAGGCAGAAUAGAUCAACACCAUGGACAGAAUUCAAAUACUACUAGUCAAUAGCAGUUUUUCAGAGUCCCCAUAUUUAAUUUUUUUUUUUUGGGGGGGGGCUGUCAGCAUUUAAAAUAAUACAUGUAGGUUAAAAUACCAUCUAGAAAAAGAUAUUGAGGAGGCACAGUAUAUGAUGCAGAGUCAAGGGAAGGAAAUUCCUUACCUCAGUUAGCUGUCCCAUACAGCUGUGACUCGUCUGGUUUAGCCUCCCACAUAUAGCUCAUAUCUUCACGAUUCCCUAGAGAUAAAGCUUCCUAGAAAAAGAGAAAAUAUGAUCCACAAUCAUGAAAAAAAAAAAAAGAUAAGGGAAGUUCUUAUGUAGGGCUAGGAGUCAGCUAUAAACACACUUCUUCCAUUUUGAGUUGAGUGCAAUCCUCUAUUGCAGUAAGAGAAAAGGAA